UUAGUGAAAGAAGCUUCUAGACUGGUCACAGGAUUCCUCUCCGAUUCAUCUGCCCACCUCCUUCCUGGCCAGGCCUCCUCACAGGGUCUCGGUCAUCCCUGGUGCACUCCUAGUCGUGCCGGUCUCAUCCAGCUCUGUGGAUGGCUUGAUGCAGAAACUACUGCAUGCACAGCCCAGGAAUUGCCUCCGCAUUGCAGGCCACAGUAGGUACCAGGCACCGGGCCCUGACUCCAGCUCCCCACUGGAACGACUGCUUUGCGUGGCAAGGUCGGCGAUGUUUCUGAAGCCGCCGGCUUUACAAGAAAGAGGCCAAGGUCACCGUGAAACCUCCAUGGACAGGCUGCACAGCCCCCAAUGGCACAUCCUUUCUCUACCGUGGCCGGGGCUGCAGAAUGGGAGAUGGAAUUCCUCAGGCAAGAGGCCGACUUGAGAAACGCCGUGGACAGCUGCCCAGCCAGCCCUCCGGGACCACGAAGGACACCCACAUGCACGCCGUUCCGUCCCCGCCCCCCGUGAGACUCCGUGGAGCCACAGGCACUGACCAAGGACAUGCUUUGGAGUUCGGUGUAUUUUUUUAAUAGUUUAUUGAUUUUAGAGAGAGAGGAAGGUGGGGAGUGAGAGGAGGUUGGAGGGGAGCGGGAUUCAGGAAUGACAUCCUUCAGGAGGGAGAGGGAAUGUGACCCAGGAUCAGACGAGUUUCCCUGUUUGGAGCAAACAAGUUCUUCCCCUCCCAGGGCCCCUGAGCAGGAGCUGAGCCACCUGACCAGCGUUGUCUUCAGCAAGAGGAGCGCCCGUGCCAGGACUUAACACGUCAGCAUUGUACACAGACAGCCCAGCUUACCAACCACCCACUCCACCCAGGAGGCAGCUUCCCACCCGGAGGGGUUUGAAAAGCCACAGACCCACCUGUCCCCUCCACCUGCCCCAGACUCCCCAGCAUCCUGCCUUUGUCCCAUUCUCCUGGGACAGUGGUCGGCAAACUCAUUAGUCAACAGAGCCAAAUAUCAACAGUACAACGAUUGAAAUUUCU